UACGGGGGGAGCAAGCGUUGUUCGGCUUUACUGGGCGUAAAGGGCGCGUAGGCGGUCAGCACAAGUCAGUUGUGAAAUCUCCGGGCUUAACUCGGAAAGGUCAACUGAUACUGUGCGACUAGAGUGCAGAAGGGGCAACUGGAAUUCUCGGUGUAGCGGUGAAAUGCGUAGAUAUCGAGAGGAACACCUGCGGCGAAGGCGGGUUGCUGGGCUGACACUGACGCUGAUGCGCGAAAGCCAGGGGAGCGAACGGG
rnacentral:rRNA from 1 species